CGGACGGCUCAUUAAAUCAGUCGUGGUCCAAAUGGGCCAGUGCAAAUCCUACUUGGAUAACUGUGGUAAUUCCAGAGCUAAUACAUGCAACUGAUAUCCCGAAGGCGGUGUUUGGGCUUGCUUGCCUUGCGCUGCGCUGCUCUGACGGAUGCUUUUAUUAGACCAAGCCGCUGAGGACUUGAGGGUUCGCGCUCUCUUGUCUGACUCGUGUGAUGGUGACUCUGGAUAACCAAAUUCUGACAAGCGCACGUACUUCUCUUCUGAGCGAGACGGCGCUGCCACUUUCGAGUGUCUGCCUUAUCAGCUAUCAACCGUUCGUUAUGCGCGACCGAUGGCUUUGACGGGUAACGGGGAAUCAGGGUUCGAUUCCGGAGAGGCAGCCUGAGAGACGGCUACCACGUCCAAGGACGGCAGCAGGCACGCAAAUUACCCAAUCCCAGCAAAUGGGGGAGGUAGUGACGAAAUCUAACGAUGCGGGCGCCCUUUCUGGGGCCCCGCAAUC
rnacentral:rRNA from 1 species